GGCCCUAUAGUGUAUGUCACAUAUCGAAUUGCAAAUUCGGAGAAGCAAUUUUAAACUUGCUGGGGCUU
rnacentral:tRNA from 1 species